rnacentral:lncRNA from 1 species
GCGAUGCUGGUGUCAUGUUUGGACUGCAGUCACUGCAAAGCUUCCCAAUAGAACAGUUCUUCCUGAGAAAUCUAUCAGUGCAGUUCAGACUCUGGAAGCAAAUGACCUCUCCGGGCAGAGCCUUCACCGUGUGGGGAACAUCAGAUUUGUGUAAGGAUUACCUAUCUCUUUUUAGGUAUGCACUGUUGAGAAGGUACUGCGAAGGCCACAGGUCACUCAGGAAAAUUUGGGGGAGUUUUCUAGGUUCAAUGGAGACUGGACAUCAAAGCUGCACUGGGACAUCUGGAUCCGUUGAUCCACUUUGGCCAUUCCACCUCAGCUCAGAAUUACCCACAUGGUGUCAGCACAGGAUGUCUCUUGGCUUCAGCCAUUCAGAUGAGCGAUGUCAGCAAGCUUCGCCACUGUCAAAGUACCUCUUUAUAAGAAGACAGGAUCUUUUCGUGAAGAAUAUGAGACCUGAGGCUGGGGGAUGGCUGAGAAGGGAAACGUGCCUCUGCACAAGUGUGAGGACAGGAGUUUGUUCUUCCAGAUCCAUGCAGAAACCUUGAUGCUGAGUCGUGAAUACCUGCACUCCUACGGAAGAUGGGCGGCAGAGGCAGAAGUUCAUCUGGAAGCUUGAGAUCAGCCACCCAGACACUCAGAGCUGCAGACAAAAGAGAGGCCCUGCAGCAAAGGAGUGGAAGGUGAGAACCAACUCCAGAAAGUUACCCUCUGACCUUUACAAGUGUAUAUGUCCACAUACAUACAAUAAAGUCAAAUGCUCAAUU